AAGGGGUCGCGAAAAUCGAGCGGGUGGAUAAACGCGCGGCAUUGUGUUCGCUUCAUCGACUGACCGAUAUUUGCCCAGAGUCACUCUGAAAGUAUGGAUUAACGAUCCGUAGGGUGGACCGAAGGGUAGACCAGAAGAGAUUACUAAGCGAAGGCUAAGCGCGUGAUGCAGGUGGUCGCAAGGGGAACCGCUGGAAAGAAAGGACAGAGAUGAUGAUUCCACUUCAGAAACGGACGAAAGCUUCCAACAGUAUAGUGACACUGACGAAGAAUAUCAGAUCCAUCAUCAUAUAGCGGAGUAAUUAAUAAAAAAAAGUAGUUUACAUAUCGUACUGGAAAAACAGCAUUUACGCAAGAAAUUGAAGAGUAAACACAUUAAAAGAAACAAGUCGAAGUAGAUGGCUGCAGAUAGGCAGUUAAGAUUGACGAAGACAUGCAUGCGCAAAGACAAAGCAGGAGAGAUAGAAAUCAAUCCUGGUCCGUUUUGGAGGAAUGACAGGAAUGCGCGGAAUUGCAUAGUAUUUGACAUUAUCCGUAACUCUAUCGCCUCUUUAACGAAGUCGAUGUCAUUACAUUUAUAUGUCGAAUAGCUAUAUCAUUUUUUUUUAUUUUAUGACGAAAUGUAUUUUUCGAUAGACUUUUAGUCCGGACGGACAGUACAGGUUCGUAAUGUAAAAACAUUACAAUAAAAAAAUAUCUUUUAUUCUUUCAUAAUUGCUCAUCAUAUGCGCAAAUCGUGUACAAAUCGUGUGUGUGAAUAAAUCCAGAUAUAGAGGUGGAACAACGGAUGGAUAAUUAUAUACGGAGAAUAGAUAUAUUAAUCAAAGCAUAUUAUUUGUUAUACAAUAAUACCGAGCCAUCUACGUGCAUAAAUAUCAGAAAUAACAAACGGCAAUGAAACGUAGAUAAAAUUAACAAGCAUGAAUAUCUAUCGUUCCGAUUUCGUUUCAUUUCAUACACGCUGCAAAUGAAUAAUGCGCGCCGUGAAAAUUGUCCAAUGGGUAACGUGGCUUACAAAUCCUCUUAAAAUGCAUUAUAUAAAUCGAAAUCCAUUUUUCAGGCAAAACAUAUUUUUCGAGCGCGGCUAUUCAAAGCGAUUCUCUGAGCCAUUUAUAUGCAUACAUUCGUCGAUCGCAAAUAACGCCGCGACGCAGCCCCGUGUACCCGCAAAUAUCCCCCUCGCACCGAACACGAUAUAAACAGGUAGACAGGGUUGUAGGAAAAGAGCACAGAGAAGAAAGAGGAGAAAACGAUCCAAUAGUCACGACCCUUCCCGAUCGAUUAAUAUCACUGCAAUAAACGUCAUUGCACAUCGAAAAGGGGUGGUUCGCCCCACGGCAAACGCGAUUCUCGUGUCGAAAAAUAUAUACCUCUCUAUUUUACAAAACACGCAACAGCACACGUAACCCUUUAGUCGCGCGGCUCCGACUGCGUUCUUCUUUUGUGACGAGAAAAGCUAAACGAUGGAGGAUCCAACUGUGUUACUUGUCAUAUGUGAGCAAAUCAGCGAAUAAAAUAAGUCAACUUUUCACGUACUUAUAAUGUAUCUAAAAAAAAAUUCGAAAACUGAACUAUCACGAAAGUCAGAGAUUAAAUCAGAUUAGAGAUUUCAAUUUCAUGAAAUUUAAUCGUUGCGUAGGCAGACAUUCUAACAUUCAUUGCUGCUAUAAAUACUUCGAUCGUUAUUAAUCUCACGACUGCAUCGGCUUCGACAAGCGUUACAAAAUCUCUCUA